GGCGUCGACCGGCGCACGGGUGAGUAACGCGUAUCCAACCUGCCCACCACUUGGGGAUAACCUUGCGAAAGUAAGACUAAUACCCAAUGAUAUCUCUAGAAGACAUCUGAAGGAGAUUAAAGAUUUAUCGGUGAUGGAUGGGGAUGCGUCUGAUUAGCUUGUUGGCGGGGUAACGGCCCACCAAGGCAACGAUCAGUAGGGGUUCUGAGAGGAAGGUCCCCCACAUUGGAACUGAGACACGGUCCAAACUCCUACGGGAGGCAGCAGUGAGGAAUAUUGGUCAAUGGACGAGAGUCUGAACCAGCCAAGUAGCGUGCAGGAUGACGGCCCUAUGGGUUGUAAACUGCUUUUAUAAGGGAAUAAAGUGAGUCUCGUGAGAUUUUUUGCAUGUACCUUAUGAAUAAGGACCGGCUAAUUCCGUGCCAGCAGCCGCGGUAAUACGGAAGGUCCGGGCGUUAUCCGGAUUUAUUGGGUUUAAAGGGAGCGUAGGCCGGAGAUUAAGCGUGUUGUGAAAUGUAGAUGCUCAACAUCUGCACUGCAGCGCGAACUGGUUUCCUUGAGUACGCACAAAGUGGGCGGAAUUCGUGGUGUAGCGGUGAAAUGCUUAGAUAUCACGAAGAACUCCGAUUGCGAAGGCA
rnacentral:rRNA from 1 species